rnacentral:rRNA from 1 species
AUAAACUUUAACCGAGUGUUCACUGUAUAUAACCUUAAAUAAAAUUAUUUUAUAGUAGUAAAAGAGAUAGAAAAGAAAAAAUAUUUAAAGUAAAUGAAAAUGAGUGGAAGGGAGUAAAGGAAAGGAUGAGUAAGAAGCGGUACCUUUUGUAUAAUGACUUAUUAAGAUAUACCUUAAAUGGAGGGGUGCCCGAAAAUAAAGGAUCUACUAGAGUUAGUUAAUAUUGUUGCAGAAAUUUGGAAAAGCUUUAGUAGGAGUAAGAUGCUUUUCGUUUUUAUAGAUAGCUGGUUGGUGGGGAAAAAAGUAUUGCUUUUCGGGGUGUAUCCUAGCUGGACAAGAGGGGUAAGCUCUCUUGUUUUAAUUUGAUAAGAGAAAUAUGGUAGUAAAAAUUUAGGCUUGAAAGUAGCUAUCAUUAGUAUGUUUUAUAACAUAUUUAUUAAUUUUGUACAAAAUUUUUAAUUUAAUAAAUUUACCUUCUUUCCAUUGGAAACUCAGUUAUGUGAUAACUCUGGUAAGAUUAGUAUUGAGUGUUAAUAAGUUUUUUCGUAGAAAAAUUAAUUAUAAGCAAAAAAAUAGAAUUGCUAGGAAUGAAUUCGGCAACAGGAGUUUCGAAUGUUUACCAAAAACAUUGUUUUUUGUGAUUAUAAAAAAUAGAGCCUGCUCAAUGAUAUAUUAAAUAGCCGUGGUAUUUUGACCAUGCUAAGGUAGCAUAAUCAUUUGGCUAUUAAUUGUGGUCUGGAAUGAAAGGUUGAACGAAAACUCCGCUUUAUGUGUAUAGCAAUUAAUAGAAAUUUACUUUUAGGUGAAGAGGCCUAGAUAUAAGAGAAGGACAAGAAGACCCUAUCGAGCUUUUUUAUACAGAUAUAUAUAUAUAAUUAUUAGUAGAGAUUUGGUUGGGGCAACCUUGGAAUUAACUUCCUAUACGCAGUGGUUUAUAAAAGAUGAGAGAGAAUUUUUACAUACAGAGUAAGUUACCGUAGGGAUAACAGCGUUAUUUUUUUUGAGAGUUCUUAUCGAAAAAAUUUUUUGCGACCUCGAUGUUGGAUUAAGGGUGCCGCAGGGAGUAGAAGAUCUGUUAGGCCGGUCUGUUCGACCGUUAAAUCUUUACAUGAUCUGAGUUCAGACCGGCGUGAGCCAGGUUGGUUUCUAUCCUCUCUUUUUGACUUUUGUAGGAUUAGUACGAAAGGAGAAUUCUAUUUUUUU